GCGAUUAAUACUCCCACUACUCCACUUCACAUCCCCACCAAAACGUCCUCUAUGGCUUCCACUACUAAUCUCUUUGAAUUUCACCUCUUUGAAUUUCACGCCAGAAUCCCAUCUCCACUUCCACCUUUUGCAGCUAGCGAUCGAUACCCUGGAGCCGCCCGCCGCUCUGCACCCGCCGCCGCACGCCACGAAUUCCUGCGGAUCGAUCGUCCCGCUCCUGUCGGCGUCGAACCUGCUGAACAGCACGUCGUAGAGGCUCGCGAUCUCGUCCGCCGACUGCAGCUCGAACUGCGUCGACGACAGCUUGCCGGAGCGCCUUUGCAGCUCGUCGCGCGACAGCACGCCGUUGCCGUCGGCGUCGAGCGUCUUUCGGCUGAAACUGUUGUUAAAAUACAAAGGAUUUGUGUGGAAUGAUGAUUGUUGAUCCUCUCUUCCUAUUCUUUUCGCUUAUCAGCAUUUGCAAUUAAGGGCCAAGUCAAAUAUAAAGACAAAUGGUUUUCAUCACUACGAGAUUUGACAAGAAAAUUGAAGGAAUAGCUGAACAAGAUGUCAAGAUGCAGUUAACCAAUGUGUUGGAUUACUUUUCGUCAACGAAGCUUUGUAGAAAUUAGAAGUGUUUGAUCAAUUGUGUAUCGUUAUUAUGUAAUUUUUUUUGGUUAUUGUGACAUAAAUAAUGUGUACUUUGAUAUUAUUGAUAAAGUAAAUAUGUUUAUAUUAUCAUGUUAUAUUUUAA